ACUUCUUGUUCCUCUGAGAUUUUUCAAUGAAGCUUUACAAGAAAUGAUCCAAAAUAUUGUUGAGCCUGUAGCAAUACCAACUCUCCAAAACUAAUGGGGUUCUAAUGUCCGUCUCUCUUCCUCUGCCUGAAGCGAUGGUCGGUGAGGAAUUUCUUCAACCCAGAAUAGAUCGUCUUCUCCACCAAUGGAUUCUCUGGUCAAUAGAUGCGCAACUCGAUUCCCAUCACGAGGGAUGAACUGGAAUUCACAUAGCAUGGUCUGCAACGACAGCUUCAGCGACGAAAGGAGUUACGCGCCAGGUUCGUCUUCUGCAAGCCCCCAUUUCGUAGCCUUCAUUAUUUCUUAUAAUAACUCCCGACCAGCUUGUAUUGUCUUCAUAAUUGAAACUAGCGUCGAAAUUCACUUUGACUGCGUCUAAUGGAGGAGGGGCCCAUUUUGUUUCGAUUUUCCGACUCGGGCCUGUGAGCCUUGUUGUAGCCAUGAGGAACUCCUUACAUUGUCCACGAAUAUGGGUAAUGAUCUCAACUGUUGUGAUUAAUUUCCCCUCAUGUAUUCUCUUGUUUCGAGCAUACUAUAAAAGCCAUCUACACACUAAUAUUUCUGCA